rnacentral:misc_RNA from 1 species
UAAUCAAAAUAUGUUUGAUUUUUUAAAUUACAGAUAUGUCGACUUUUCUAAAUAAUAUGAAAAAUAAAAAUAAAAAUUGACAAGUUAUCUUGAUUUGCUUUUUUCAACACGGCCUAUACAGUUGAUUAAUAAGUUACUAGAGCGAAAAUUGUUACAGUUUUCCGUCCGCUUUCAACAAUAUGGCCGCCAGUUGUUUAGGGUAAUGUGGCGUUCGACAAAACUGAGUGAAAUUGUUAAAAUAUUUAUAAGUGACGUAAAGAUGUAUAAAGUUUUCAGCGUUUUAUAGCAGUGUUUCAUGCAAAGACGGUCUUGAGCAUCUCUUUAGUUCGUCUUAAAAUUUUUGAAUGCAUAUAAAUCGUCGUCUAAAUUGGACAGUCAACAAACUUUUGUUUAUUUCAUUGGAGUGGAUUUAUUUGUUCCUGCAGAGAAUACUCGAUUAUGAACCAUUUAUUCUGGUACUGAAAUAGUGGAACAAGGACUGACGUCGACACAUUAGGUUAUGGCAAACUUGAAUUUCCAACAAGCACCUAGAAGCCUAGCGAGCGGCGGAGUGGGCGGUCGCGUGAGCUCGGGGCUGGUGGGCGGCGUGUCGGGCCAUGUGACGCCCACGUUCGGAGGCGCACUGUCGCCCGGCCGGAACUCCACCGCCAUGCCCGGGGGCGCUCCGCCCUCUAUGGCAUCGCGAUCAACACUAUUCGGCCAGCGGGCUUUUGCCGACCGCAGGGUACCCAUACCAAACGCGUUAUCGCAGCCUAACUCAAAUUCCAUGUCGAGUAUGGGCAACUUGUCCCGAUUCAACACAAGCAGCAACUACCACUCGGUGUUCGGAGAGGGCGGAGACACGUCGACGCCACCUCUACUGGACCUCAGCGAGUUCCCCUCGCUGACCGCGCGGGGGGCGGGCGACCAGGCGCCAGCCGCCGCGCCACCGCCGCCCGGCUCUAAACCUUACGUGGGUAUGGUGAAGCAGCCUACAUCUGAGCAGUCAGAGUUCACGAUGUCUUCAGAGGACUUCCCGGCGCUGCCGGGCACGUCGAGCGCGGGCGGCACGGCGCCGCUGCCGCCGCCCGGCCCGCUGCCGCCGCCGCCCGACUUCAGCAACCACACCAACGACAAGCCUAGGAAGGGCAUACAAACCUCACCCGAUGUUAUCAGUCAAGGAGCACAUACGGAAUUCUAUGGUAAAGUAACGAAUAUACCAGAGACGAUGAUACCGAACCAGUUUGGUAUCGUGGGACUGUUGACGUUUAUUCGCGCAGCGGAGUCGGACCCCAGUUUAGUGUCGCUGGCGUUAGGGCAGGAUCUCACUGCGCUCGGAUUGAAUCUAAAUUCACCAGACAACCUUUAUCUCACCUUUGCUGGCCCUUGGGCGGACACGCCGUGCAGACCACAAGAUAUGGACUACCAUGUGCCUCCCGAAUAUCUAAUCAAUGGUUCAAUUAGAGAAAAGUUGGCGCCUCUACGACUGAAUCGAUAUAAGGAAGACCUCUUAUUUUAUUUGUUCUAUUGUUUCGUGGGUGACGUGCUGCAAAUAGCAGCUGCAGCCGAACUAUGGAGUGAUGAGCAUCCGACUGGCCAGCCUUAACCUCCUGGCCGGUGACGGGUAGCAGCGUCGCCGGCGCAACAGAAGUAGCCACUCAUCGACAAUCUCCAAAAUUCAGUUUGAAUAUGGGUGCCAAACUACAACCGCGAAUGGCGGUAUCACAUGGAGGAGAAGGUGUGGAUCUCGCAGGCGCCCGGCAUGCCGAUGGUGGAGAAGACGUCUACGUACGAGCGCGGCACCUAUUACUUCUUUGAUGCGCACAACUGGCGUAAGGU